GGCGGAGCUUGAGCUACAUAGCAUAGCGCAUGUACAGUCCAUUAGAACUUACACAAUUUGCAUCGCACGAUGCAUCAGACAGUACUUAUUCGAGGACAGGAUCCCCUGCUGUCUAUUGAGAGAUGCACAGUGUUCUGCAUAAAAUACCACUGUGCCUACUGUAAAUUGGUGUUUAACCAUUUACACGAGCUCCAAAAUCAUGUAGUUAAUCACAUGCAAAAUACAGUUCAACAAUAAGGUCACGGGUGUUGAUAUUUGAGCAGCUUAUGAAAGUCCAUCCCAGGUCUGCGGGUCUUUAUUUCCUCCAUGACAUCCAGCCUGCUUCAUCAGAACGCUGUUAUUCCUUUACAU